GGCCCAUGCCGGGUGGCCGUCUGGGGUGGCUGGUUCCCCUGGCGAUGUUGACCCUCUGCCUGGGGGGGCGGGGGUUGCCUCUUGGAUGCCUGGGGCCCGGGGUCCUGUGCUGGGUCCGCCCUGGGCCUCUGGCCCCUGGCGGGGUCGGCGGCUGCCAGUCUUGGUUACCUGGGACCCGGCCCCGCUAGGCGCUGGGGAUCCUGGCCGGGUUCUCCCUCUGCCCCCUUCCAGGCCGAUCCGUGGUCGUCUUCGUGGUUUGGUGGCUCGGAUCUCUACUCUGGGAUUGCUGCCGGCUCGCCUGGGUCUUGUGGGCUCUCGGGCCCGCUUCUGGCCUUCACGGAGGUCAGAGGUCAUAGUUGCAUGAUCACAGUCACAAUUGCACAGUACUCUGCAUGUGGACAUAGCAACCAUGUUGUCUUGUAGGAUGUUAAGUUUGUCCUGGUGCCAGAAUAUCAAAAGACAUGUUUCCUCAGUUUGUUUGCUUCACAUAGAUGAUCUGAAUAAUUACUAACUGUGUUUCCUAACAAAACCCGUAGGAUGCGUUCCGGUGUGUCUAUGUUAAGGUGUACUAGCUUGUUGUCUGUUGUGUCGGUUUCAAUUGAAAGAUAAUUGUAUUCUUGCACCCUUCCUCUUCUCUUCACUAUCCCCCCUUGUUGUUGUUUUAUUUUUUCUUUCUCCUUGUUUCUUUCUUUCUGCCUUUCCCCUGUCAGGUCCGGCAAACUUAUGUAUAUUUAACUAAUCAACAAGUAUUCAAACUAAAUAAAUCACUGUACAGUAUCAAGGGGAGUCUUAUACUUAUAAACUCCCCUUGGAAAAGCAAACUUGUAUGGCACAAUGCAGCAGCCAGAUCCCCAUUCUGCCUGCUCUGUUGCCGGACAGGACAAAAAAAAAAAAAAAGAAUAAACAUGUUCUGAAAGCUAUAAAUUUGUGUUCUUCAAGAAAUCAGUUCAAAAUUCCAAAGAAUUAAAAAGUUAUACCCAUUUAUAGUUGUUUUUACCUGACAGAACAUUUUUGCUUCCCCACCCUGUACCCCCCAACUAAGGCAAAGCAUUUUUGGCUGACAAAAAGAGACAGACAUAAAAUACAGCACUACAGGGAGUCAAAUUCGGCCCGGGACUUUUUGGACCAGACCAGCCCAUCUGUGCAAUCGAGCCCCCACCCCCACCCCCACCCCCGACCUCUUCAACAGAGUCUUGGUUGGCACUAUUAUGACAUAACACAACAAACCUUUGAAAUUGUACACUGUAUUUAAUAAUCACUCACAUACAGUAUACUGCUGAAGUGGAAUCACUGUGACGCAAAUGCACACAUACACUACAACUUCAAAACAAUUUUGAAAAUUACAAUAUAUUACAGUUUUAUCGAUAAUUACUAAUUACACAAAGAAGUAACCAAAGUAACAAUGUUGAUGUAGUAAAUGUACCACUCUUCCAAUCCACACUAGGGCCUUGUCAAAGCCAUCAUGUCACGUCACGAUACAACACACAAACACGCAAGAAGAAACACAUUGCAAAGAUGCGCUCAGAGGAAAGGGAAGAAAAGCUCUCGAAGUGUUGGCCGGACAGAGUAAAACAAUAACAGAAAUGUUUGCUGUAGCCGCUGCCGGUCCAUCACAGACACAGGGGCCACAAAUUCCACUGUCACGACGCUUCAAGAGCUUUUCUUCUCUUUUCUCUGAGCUUUUAACCCCCUCCUUUACAUUUUUUGACCUUCUUCUGCUCCACCUGCCUGGCUGGGCUUUACUGCACACACCGCGAUAUCAAGUCUAAACUCUACUCAGCCCAGAGCUGUCACCUGAGGGCGGGGCUGAGCAUGCGUGUGGUGUGACGCAUGUGGGCCUGCUUGCUUGUACCAACUACCCCUGACUGCAGUUUGGGGCGUGGCUCAAUGCAUAGUGCAGUUGAACCUCAACGUGGGCGGAGUUAAACGAUUAACUCCACCCGCAUGGCGCAGUUGAACCGCAGAAGAAGAAGAAGAUUGUAUUAGAGAAGAAGAACAAGAAGUUUGCAAAAUGGAAGUAAGCACGCUUAUAUUUUGUUUAAACGUGCUGUUUUAACGUGCUUUAACGUUGCUGUUUUGCUAUUUUGUGACAGACAAGGAAGGAAGUGAUAUUAUUUUAUCUCCAGUUGCAUUAUCUCCUUGUAUUAGUUUUAGACUUAUGUCAGACUUAUUUAUUUUAUUAUCAUCUGCCGGCAAUUUGUUAAAAGUUUUGCUUUUUUGGUGAAGUUUGAGCAUUUCAUAUUCAGUUAUUGAUAUCUUUUUACAGGACAAUGCAGCCAUUCUACAGUGGGUUCUGCUUCCAGUAUUUGUACCUGGACACUGGAUACUUUGUGUAAAUACAUUUAUAUCUUCCUCUAUUAUUACCUUACACAAUAAAGUUGCUCAUUGCUGAUUUAAUUUUUUUGGUCUAAGAAUUGCAUGACAGCUUUGCUAGUAUUUCUGUAACAUUCCAUAACUUUGUGUCUGGUUAUAUUUGAACACAUUUAACAGAUACUGAGGCCAGAGGCUAGGGAGAUUUUCUUUCUAGAUCCCCUCUGUGGCAGCGGCUGGAGAGAUGAGAGUAGAGUCCAUCGAUUCAGGUUUUUAGGGCACCUUCCAAGAUCCUGCCUGGACAGUGGUAGUUCUGUUUUAAACCACUUGUCCUUUGUUUGUUUAAUAAAUGGUUCUGUUUUUAUUUGAAUGUAAAUAUCCCCUGCAUUAAGAUGUUCCAAACAAACAAAAACAAACAACAAAAGUGAGUGUUUGCGAGGGAUAGAAGUAAUUGUUACAUUAUUCUUAUUUAUUGUUAUUACAUUAUUCUAUGCAGAUGGAAACAGAACCAUAUAUUUUGUUUGAGUGGGGCAGUUCUGUUUAAGCCCAUUACUAAAACGUUUGAUUUGAAGUUCCAGCCUCUUCCUUAUUCACUUUCAACUUUGUUCCAAGUGUUGCUUUAAAAUGGUUUAUUGUACUUUUAUUUACUUCCACUUACUCUUUGACCAGGCACAUUGCUCACAGCCUAUCUCCUGGCCCUUGGAGGCAGCUUGGAUGAUGUUCAGCCAAGGGCCUAACACUGCAAAGAUGCUCCAACAACUGUGGCGUGUUUGUUUUGAUGUAUGCUCUGUACAUUGUAAUGGGGGCCAGUUGCGAUUUCAGUGAGGAAAACAUGCUGCAAAUUCGAAGAUGGUGGUGUCUUGUUCUGCUGCAGAACUUCCCCAUGCCAUCUGAAGAAGAGAGAUUGCAGCAAAGAAAAAGGCAACGAGAGCAGAAAAAACUACAGGAUGUGGCUGAAGUCCACCUGAAAAAGUUUAGGCUUUUGGAAUCUGCCACUGAAGCACCAGGUAUUGUUCCAGCCAGCAUUGUCUCACACAUAUCCAUCGAGGUUGGUGAGGUUUGAUGUCAUAGAGCAGUCAUUAUUUCUUUGUCAAUCAUCAAAACAGUGUACUUAAAAUCCACCACUUAAAUUUUGCAUUGUCAUUGUGCCUGUAGACACCACAAUCUGUUUCCUUUCUAGAUGAGGCUGAGAACCUGCCAGAACUGGGAACAGGAAAUGGGGCAUAUUGCCUGAGAUGGGUAGUCUCAUUUCAGUGUUUUCUGCAAUCUCUAAGCCUUUACUUAAAUAACUGUUUUCUUUAUUUUUGUUUAGGAGAAUCCUUUGGUCAGGGAUCCAAUGGCGGCAGCCCGGUGGUGUGGGACCAGAACUUUCAAGGGAAAAAUUUUCCUUCCCCAAGUUGUCACCAUGGCCAAGGAGGAACGCGUGAGGGCAGUGGAACUCCUGUGUGUCUGUGAUGGCCAGGAAGAAGAGGAGACCGCUGAUCUCAGAGAACCGUUCCUUUUUCUUUUUAGUCUGCAGGAAGACUAUGAGACAUUCUGUCAAGAAAUUAUUGACUGGAGAAACAUGAAGGUGUUUUGUGCUUUUGACAAAAAAGAAUAAAGUUGUGUUCAACGGUGCUGAAGCUUAAUUCAUUACAUCCGACCCCUACAAAUGUACAUGGUUCAUGAGUUGUACAGACUCUGAUAUAUUAUGUCUGGCAUAAUCAUCUACAGAAAGUCUCUAUAUAGAGAUCAGAGAUUAUGUUUUUGUUUCAGUUAUGUAGAAUGAAGGCCAAGCUAAGAGCCCUCUUUGAUUUGAGGAAAGACAUGUAACAUAGACUGUCAGUUCAGCCAUAUAUCCUUGAGUGGAUUAGUGACAUUUUAAGAAAGUCGUUAGUGCAAAGUUGAGGAAAUCUGUGUUAUCAACCAGGAAUAACCAUGCAUGUUCAGGUAUCAGUAUCUCAUUUGUUUUGUUGUGCAUUUUCUGUUUUCAAGACAUAUUGCUUUAAGUUUUCUGUCUUGAUACUUUGAUGUCUUCCUUGGUCUUCCAGUAUGCUUUGCCUUUAACAACCUUCCCAUGUUGUUUGUACUUUGUCCAGAUUUUAGACACAGCUGACUGUGAACAACCAACAUCUUUUGCAAUAUUUCGUGAUGAUUGACCUUCUUUGAGAAGCUUCAUAAUCCUCUCCUUUGUUUCAAAGGACAUCUCUCAUGUUGGAGCCAUAAUUCAUGUCAAUCCACUUGGUGCAACAGCGCUCCAAGGUGUGAUCACUCCUUUUAAACCACAGACUAACUAGCAGAUUUAAUCUGAUGCGGGGGCUAGUUUUGGGAAUGAGAAUUUAUGAGGUGAUUCCAUAAUUUUUUCCUCAGAAUUGAGUGAUUCCAUAUUUUUUUCCCUGUGCUUGGUCUAAAAAAGUAAUUGUUACUGAGUACUGCAAUUUUUCCUCUUGAUAUCUUUUAGUGUUUCUUACAGCCAGAAAGUUGCAAAAUAAAAUGACUUUAGUUUUUUGUCACGUUUGUGAUCUGCUUUUUUCUACAAAAUUAAACAACUGAACGAACGUCCUCCGAGACUGGUGAUUCCAUAAUUUUUGCCAGGGGUUGUAUAUGUUGUAUUCGUGGGAUUUGAUACUACAAGAAAAAUAUUUUCCCAAAGAACUACUUUUUGGCUCCAGACCUGAUCCUGAUAUAAAGAGUAAUGCUGAUAUAAAAUUAAUCAUGACAGUAAAUCACAUAAGAUGCUAGGUGAUACAUACAAAAGUGUUCUUUCCUUAAUAAGAAGAAUAACGAUACAAUUCAGCUUAAUGUACAAUCAUUAAAUGGUUUCUCGGCCAGCAUUUAGAAGCUGUAUUGCCGUUUGUGAAUGUGCUAUAUAGUCUCCGCCACCAGAUGGUGACAAAAAAUGAGUGAAGCUCAAUGUGGGCGGAUAAAUAAAUAAAUCCAUGAAAAUUAACCAGUGGUUCAACAGAAUUUUAAAAACUAAACUCUUUCGUCUAAAUUCUUCCAUAAACUGGGUUUAUGGUAAUAAAAUGGAAUGAUCUACUUGAUAUGAAAUUCAGUUUAUGAAUUUUCAUUCAUAUUUUGUUGAAGACUUAUUGAAUAAAUAUAUUUUAUAAAAGA